AUGGGAGGAAAAAAACAUUGGAGGUCUUGGGAUUGGUUAUCCUCACUCAAGUAUCUCGGAGGAAUGGGAUUCAGGGACUUGGUGAUUUUUAAUCAAGCCAUGCUUGCAAAGCAGUGCUGGAGGCUCUUAGUGAACCCCAAUUCCUUAUGCUUCAAGGUAUUAAAAGGAAGGUAUUUACCGCAUGGAGAUUUUUGGAGGUCAGGAUGCCCAUGAUCAGCUUCCUACACAUGGCGCAACAUAUUGUUUGGUAAGAAAGUCCUUCAGAAGGGCUUAUUGUGGCGAGUAGGAAAUGGAAAGCAAAUAUAUUUGAUUAAAGAUAAUUGGGUCCCAGACUCAUUGCCUAGCAUACCUUGCACAAAUUUCCCAGUGGAGGAGGAUAAGACUGUCAACCAUUUGUUCUCAACUGAUGGCAAAUCAUGGAACAGUGUGGCUGUUAGUGAAAUGUUUCCAAAAGACCUGGCUGUAGAGAUUCUCAAGAUUCCUCUAAGUUGA
rnacentral:rRNA from 1 species